rnacentral:rRNA from 1 species
GACGAACGCUGGCGGCGUGCUUAACACAUGCAAGUCGAGCGGUAAGGCCCCUUUUGGGGGGUACGACGAGCGGCGAACGGGUGAGUAACACGUGGGUGACCUGCCUUCAGCUCUGGGAUAAGCCUGGGAAACUGGGUCUAAUACCGGAUAUGACCUUUGCCUGCAUGGGUGGGGGUGGAAAGAUUUGUUUGGCUGGGGAUGGGCCUGCGGUCUAUCAGCUUGUUGGUGGGGUGAUGGCCUACCAAGGCGACGACGGGUAGCCGGCCUGAGAGGGCGACCGGCCACACUGGGACUGAGACACGGCCCAGACUCCUACGGGAGGCAGCAGUGGGGAAUCUUGGGCGAAUGGGGGAAACCCUGACCCAGCAACGCCGCGUGAAGGAUGAAGUAUUUCGGUAUGUAAACUUCGAAAGAAUAGGAAGAAUUAAUGACGGUACUAUUUAUAAGGUCCGCUAACUACGUGCCAGCAGCCGCAGUAAC